AAUAUUGAGACAUAUAAAAAAAGACAACUCUGUUCCGCAGAGUAGCUGUUGACAUUAUAGUUGCGCAGGCACUUUGUUGACUCUAGAGAACCUCGGACCAAUCGCACAUCUCCGUGGCGGCGACUUUGCAUGCGGAUGUCAUCCAUAUAAACUUUAGAUGCCUGCACCUACCAUGGUGACCACGGGUAAUGGGGAAUCAGGGUUCCAUUCCGUACAGGGACCCUGAGAAAUGGCUACCAUAUGCAAGGAAGGCAACAGGCGCGCAAAUGACUCACUCCUGACGCGGGAAGGUAGUGA